rnacentral:rRNA from 1 species
ACAAGCAGCGGAGCAUGUGGUUUAAUUCGAAGCAACGCGAAGAACCUUACCUAGACUUGACAUCUCCUGAAUUACCCGUAACUGGGGAAGCUCUUCGGAGCAGGAAGACAGGUGGUGCAUGGUUGUCGUCAGCUCGUGUCGUGAGAUGUUGGGCUAAGUCCCGCAACGAGCGCAACCCUUAUCGUUAGUUGCUACCAUUAAGUUGAGCACUCUAGCGAGACUGCCCGGGUACUGGACGGGAAGGUGGGGAUGACGUCAAAUCAUCAUGCCCCUUAUGUCUAGGGCUACACACGUGCUACAAUGGUGAGGACAAAGAGACGCAAGACCGCGUGGUGGAGCAAAUCUCACAAACCUCAUCCCGGUUCGGAUUGCAGGCUGAAACUCGCCUGCAUGAAGCCGGAGUUGCUAGUAAUCGCGAAUCAGCAUGUCGCGGUGAAUACGCUCCGGCCUU